CUUUUCUUUUCUUUUUUUUUUUUUUUAAUACUAUAUCCCAUCAUAGUCUAUCCCAAGAGAUAAGAUAGAGUUCCCUGUGCUGUAGAAUAUUUAACAACAUCCCUGCCCUCCACCCAUUAGAUGUGAUACAUAGCAUCACAGCCCUCCUUGGUGACCAACAAAAAUAUCUCUGGUCAUUGUGAAAUAGUCUCUGGAGAACAGAAGAGCCUCUGGUUGAGAACAUCCGAUGGAGAGGGGAUUCCCUGUGAAAGCCAGAGCUGUUAUCCACGGGGGAAUGAGUCUCGGAGGGUGGGAGCCUGGGCAGGGAGUGCAGUGCCAGCGAGAAUGAUCUGAUGAGCCUUGGGCCAGAUAAUACAGACCUUCUAACUCCGUCUGUGGAGGGCAAACUCUCUCCUGUAAGGAGAGAAAUCUGGUAGGAUAUUCGCAGGAGGAGAGAUAUGGAAUUGAUUUGAUUAUUUUGGAAAGCAGACCUGAUUUGAUUAUUUUGAUUUUGAUUAUGUUGGCUAAUGCAUGGUGCCAGGUGGGAGACAAACCAUGUUGGGGGGCAAGGGGAAGGAGAUAGUGUGGGGGCUUGAUCAAAGGCGGUGAUGGCGCAGAUGGGGACCAGCAUCACUCUUCAGCAACACUUCAAUGAGUCACAUCUUUCCAUUGAUGGCUGGACCAAACAAACUGACAAACAUCCUCAGAAUGACAGACUUUCAAGACCUUUAUGUGCCUUUUUUUUUCUGAAAACUUUGCAUAUUCACUUUAUUUUAGGCGGAAAUGUAAUUCUUUUCUAGACUUUAGAUUUUUAUGUGUAGACUUAAAUCAAUGGUGCCAGAAAAUAUUGUUUUCCUACCUUUUAUGUGUAUUGCUAUAUUGAGACAGGGAAGGUAAGAAUAUUAUCUUCAACUUCAUUUAUUAUAGAUCAUCCUGGUGAAUUUGAAUAUAUGCAUGUGUAAUAUAUGUGUAUUUAUCUGUUAUGAUUUGUGGAGUUCCCGUCGUGGCUCAGUGGCUAACAAAUCCGACUAAGAACCAUGAGGUUGCAGGUUCGAUCCCUGGCUUUGCUCAGUGGGUUAAGGAUUCAGCAUUGCUGUGAGCUGUGGUGUAGGUCGCAGAUGCAGUAUGUAUCCUGCCUUGCCUAUGCCAUAGCCGUAGAACUCUACUAACUUUUUAAAAAUUUGAAGAAUGGUUGAUUUACAUUAUGUAUAUUUUGGGUAUACAGUGUAGUGAUUCGAUAUUUUUGCAAAUUGUACUACAUUAUAGUUUAUUACAGUUUUAAAUAGUUCAUUAAUGUAGAGUUUAUACAUUAAAUAGUAUAAAUACAUUAAAUAAACUAUUAAUGUAUAGUUUACACAUUAUAGUAUAAUUCUCUGUUCUAUACAGUAUAUCCAAGUUGCUUAUUUUAUAAAUAGUGGUGUGUCUGCUAAUCUCAUACCCUUAAUUUGCUCCCCUGCAUCCCCUUGGUAACCACAAGUUUGUUUUCUAAGUCCACAAGUCUGCUUUUCUUUUGAGUAUACAUUCAUUUGUAUUAUUUUUUAGAUUCCACAUAUAAGUGAUAUCAUAUAAUAUUUGUCUUUCUGUCUGAUGUAUUUCAUUAAGCAUAAUAUUCUCUAUGGUACUCACAAAUUUAGUUAAAUAAUUAACCAAUUACUUAAAAGCUUGCUGGAAUAUAACACCGUAACGUGAGUCCCAAAGCUGCUUUCCUCUUAGCCGUAUCCUCAGGGUGUAGUAAAGUGUCUGAUGAGCAAUGGGUCUUCAGCAAAUCCAUAUGGAAGGAAUGAAGUGAUAAAUUAAUGAGGGGAUGCAUUUUUCUCUAUCACUGUGAUGACUGGACAGGAAGAGAACUCAGCUGGUCCACCACCGUUGUGGCCUCAGUCUGUCUCUUACCUAGGUCAUGGUGCAUGGAUCUGAAGGGUGAAAUCUUGCUCCAGUGGCCACCAAAUAGAAAGGGAAAUGUCAGGUUACUGGCAUGAGUCAAGGUGUGAAGGCCAACAGGCCGGGAAACCAAGGAAGUGAAGGGUGAAGAAGUGAAGGUUGUAGUGGAUGCUUUCAUGGAGCGAGGCGGGCCCCAUGUAAGAGUCCACAGUGCACCUGUGAGAGAAGACCAGGAUGUGGCCUCGUUCAUUUGGAUUUCUGGGGUUCCAGUUGAGAUUUCAUUUGUUCCAAAGGAUGAGUUCCAAAGCAUUCAUCUGCAGAGCAAUCACAGUGUGCCUCCAAAAAAUGCAGACUCCAGAGCAUCUCUAGAAAACGCUCUGAAUCCGUGGGUCCCCAGGGACCAGAACCCAAGUAUCUGCAUCAAAAUAGUAAAUAGGAGAGUUGGGGUGAGUAGGUAUAGGGUUGGGGCAUUGGAGGCAAGGAAAAGCAGUUUUAAAAUCCCUGGCCGAUGACCUCCUUUUGAGCGAAUGAAAACGCAUGUCACGGUGAACACCUUCACGACCUUGUGCCAACCGUGUCCUUGGAUUCCCUUUAAGCAGGAAGGAUAAUGGAGAGUGAUUACCACAACCACGUGUGCUAACAAAUCUGUAGUACUUGGUGGCUCCUGCUUUUAAUUCAGACAUGACAAAGAUUAAUACUGACUUGGCUUCCUUUGUCUAGACCCAGCCCUCCUCAGGUAUAAAUAGCAACCUAGGCCUUUUAUGCGGAUGCCGUCUUAAUGAAGCUCUAAAAUAAUAUAUGCUGUUAAUUCUCAACCCUAUAAAUACAAGCAUUUCAUGUUAUUUUUACAAAAUUGAUCUACAGGAGUGGCCCUAUGUCUUUAGCAAGAAGGUGGAGGGAGAGGAGAUGUUGUAGCUAAAAAAAAAAAAAAAAAAAAAAAAAAAAAAAAA
ensembl:lncRNA